UACGUAGGGUGCGAGCGUUAAUCGGAAUUACUGGGCGUAAAGCGUGCGCAGGCGGUUCGACAAGUCUGAUGUGAAAGCCCCGGGCUCAACCUGGGAAUGGCAUUGGAAACUGGCGAGCUAGAGUGUGGCAGAGGGGGGUGGAAUUCCGCGUGUAGCAGUGAAAUGCGUAGAGAUGCGGAGGAACACCGAUGGCGAAGGCAGCCCCCUGGGCUGACACUGACGCUCAGGCACGAAAGCGUGGGGAGCAAACAGG
rnacentral:rRNA from 1 species